UCCCAAGCCGAACGCCAACAACAGCUGCCGUCUCUCCAAGCACGCUCCAAACACACACACACACACACACACACACACAGACACAGACGCAAUCAGCGAUCAACGAUCUACGAUAACGAGCAGCUGUUUUGGGCCCGUUGUCAGUUUGUCAGUGUCAGUUAUCUGGCCGCAUCUCGGGCAACAAAAAAAUACGCAAAUUUCCAUCAACAAUCUGCAGCCGACGCGGACGUCGACGUCGCCAGCGCAGCAGCAGCAUCAGCAGCAGCAGAUCCCACAACUCUUCCUCUGCGAGCAGCGCCCCCGCAAGGCGACAAGUGCAAAAAGUGAAGUGAACUCCAAAUAUACGAAAGCAUCGUUCAUCGUUCGUCGCUCUCUCUCUCUCUCUCGCUCCCUCUGUCUGUCGUGUCGUGUCGCGCUCGUGUCGCUCUGCUUCGCGUUCGGCUCUCGCGCCGCUUCAAGUCGCUUUGUAAAUUACUUGCAAAGUUAAUUUGAGUCUCGGCUUUUAAUACCGUUUUAGUGCGUUUUCGAGUUGGUCGUGUUUUUUGUUACCAAAAAUCAAAAACUACACAAAUUUUUUAUAAAAUUAUAAAUUUCAUCUACAUCCAGUUAACAGUUAACAAUUACAAAAUUUAAUUUAAUAAAUACAGCACAGCUGUGAAAACACCACUUAAAGGAAAUUCAAUAACAAACAAAAAACAGACUUUCAAAUUCAAUUUAAUAAAAUAAGAAAUUUAAAAACACUUUUUUUUUUUUUGGUCGGUUUUUAACAACAAACAGUAAAUGACAAUUGAUUGCUAAAGUUUCGCGUCCUUUGGCAAGUAAAAUAUUAAUUUUUUUAUUCUCCAUAUUGGAAAUAAAACGGAAAUGUAAGCUACUCGCCCCCGCCAAUCCGAGCCUCGCUUCCUGUAAAUUAAGAACAGUUUGUUUUUUUUGUUUUUGUUCGCCGAGAGAGAAACUUUUAAAAAAGCAACAAUAUUACAAAAAAAAGAAAAGAAAUUCAACUGCAAGUACAAAUAACAGUCAAAUAAAAAGGAACAAAUACAUAAAUUUAUUUAAAAAUAUCAUAAAUAAUUUACAACAAUAAACAACAGCAGCAACAACAACAACAAAAACCAAUCAAGACGGAAGUGUUUUUUACAAAGCGGCGCAUCCUGUUUGAGCUUUUCUCACAUACAAACAUACACACACACACACUAAUACACACGCACACGCUGAGACUCGAAACUGGCUGUCUCUCUCGCACCUGCACGUAUAAGAGUUGUGAUCACGCAAAACAUAUACCACGUCUAAUUGAUUAAAGAGGAUUCCUCCUAUAAUUACUAAACCACAAAAUACAAAAACGAGGAACAGAAAAGCAAAGACAAAACAACGUUGAGAAAAAGGCCAGCAAAAUGACUGGUUUUACCAAUGCCGGCUUUGAGAACGAUGAGCCCGUAAAGCCAAAAGCUAGGUUUUGUGCA